AUUGAACGCUGGCGGCAGGCCUAACACAUGCAAGUCGAGCGGAGCGGCGGACGGGUGAGUAAUGCCUAGGAAUCUGCCUGGUAGUGGGGGAUAACGUCCGGAAACGGGCGCUAAUACCGCAUACUAUCAGAUGAGUCUAGGUCGGCUUAGCUAGUUGGUGGAGUAAAGGCCUAACAUGGCGACGAUCCGUAACUGGUCUGAGAGGAUGAUCAGUCACCUUGGAACUGAGCCACUGUCCAGAUUCCUACGGGAGGCAUGAGUGGGGAAUAUUGGACAAUGGGCGAAAUCCUGAUCCAGCCAUGCCGCGUUUGUGAAGAAGGUCUUCGGAUUGUAAAGCACUUUAAGUUGGGAGGCGUUACCAACAGAAUAAGCACCGGCUAACUUCGUGCCAGCAGCCGCGGUAAUUC
rnacentral:rRNA from 1 species